rnacentral:rRNA from 1 species
GACGAACGCUGGCGGCGUGCUUAACACAUGCAAGUCGAACGGAAAGGCCCUGCUUUUGUGGGGUGCUCGAGUGGCGAACGGGUGAGUAACACGUGAGUAACCUGCCCUUGACUUUGGGAUAACUUCAGGAAACUGGGGCUAAUACCGGAUAGGAGCUCCUGCUGCAUGGUGGGGGUUGGAAAGUUUCGGCGGUUGGGGAUGGACUCGCGGCUUAUCAGCUUGUUGGCGGGGUAGUGGCUUACCAAGGCUUUGACGGGUAGCCGGCCUGAGAGGGUGACCGGCCACAUUGGGACUGAGAUACGGCCCAGACUCCUACGGGAGGCAGAAGUGGGGAAUAUUGCACAAUGGGCGGAAGCCUGAUGCAGCAACGCCGCGUGCGGGAUAACGGCCUUCGGGUUGUAAACCGCUUUCGCCUGUGACGAAGCGUGAGUGACGGUAAUGGGUAAAGAAGCACCGGCUAACUACGUG